rnacentral:rRNA from 1 species
GACGAACGCUGGCGGCGUGCCUAACACAUGCAAGUCGAACGGAGUAAAGACUUCGGUUUUUACUUAGUGGCGAACGGGUGAGUAACGCGUGAGAAACCUACCUUUCAGUGGGGGACAACAGUUGGAAACGACUGCUAAUACCGCAUAAGCGCACGGUUCCGCAUGGAACAGUGUGAAAAACUCCGGUGGUAUAAGAUGGAUUCGCGUCUGAUUAGAUAGUUGGUGAGGUAACGGCUCACCAAGUCGACGAUCAGUAGCCGGCCUGAGAGGGUGAACGGCCACAUUGGGACUGGGACACGGCCCAAACUCCUACGGGAGGCAGCAGUGGGGAAUAUUGCACAAUGGGGGAAACCCUGAUGCAGCGACGCCGCGUGAGUGAAGAAGUAUUUCGGUAUGUAAAGCUCUAUCAGCAGGGAAGAAAAUGACGGUACCUGACUAAGAAGCCCCGGCUAACUACGUGCCAGC